rnacentral:misc_RNA from 1 species
UCCACCACUGUCACUGCCACCAAAAGAACCUCCAUAACCCAUACCCUGACGACUGCUAUAUAGGCCAUGUGAAUCCUGACUGGAAAUAGAAUUUCUGCUGCCCCCAUAUCCUGCAAUGGAUCUACCAAUUCUAUCACCAUAUGCAUCCCCAUAUUGAGAAGAACUAGGAACAAGUUCAUAGUCCAAUCUAGCCCUUGAAUGGCGAGCACCAGUAUCAGCAUAACGUGGAGUAGCAUCAUCCAUUGAUGAAUAAGGACGUUUUGACCCAGAAAUUGAUUCAUAAUCACGGGCUCGUCCUUCAUGGUAGUUUGGAGGGUGCCUCUCCAGCCUUUGACCAUAGCUAUCAUCUACAUAUGCUCUCCUUGCCGAAGUACGAGAUGUGCCCCUAGGAAGAUCCGAAUAGCCAGAGCCACGUGAGGAGUAGUCAUCUCUAUAGGAGGAUGGCCGUCUCUCUAGCACAGCCCUAGAACCAUAAUCUACAGGAGCUCUGCUCCUUGGAGGAGGAAGUUCAUCACGCCAACCAUAUUCCCUCUUUAAGCUACUUUUCAGGUAAGAUGGAGCAGGCGCUCUUCUAUCGUAGGACCUGGGAGGAGGUGGCAAGGGCCUGCCUCUUGCUGGCAUUGACAUCACAGGUGGACGUCUGUCUCUCAAUCCUACAGGCCUCUUUACACUGGCUGGGGGGGGAC